AAAAAUGAUCCUGAUGGGACUGGGAAUUGGAGCUAUGGUGACCUUAGAGCCAGGAUUUCAGGCUGACUUGUGCAGCCAGCCAGCUCAGUAUGGAAGCCCUGAGAAGCCAGGGAACCUGGGACACGAGCCCAAGGAGGAUUUUGAACUUGGAACUGGGACUGAGCUCUAUGAGAACCAAACUAGACUACAUCUUAAUCUCCUUUCCAUCCCCAGAGAUUGAAGUGAUUCAAGAAGAAAAGAGGAUUAUGCCACCCACAUGUCGGAAGGAAGCCAGAUGGACCGAUGACUCAGGAGGCACACAGCUGGAAUUGAGUUUGCAUGCAAAAGACUGACACAUUUAUCUCUCAGCUUUUUGUGUUGUCCCUACUGACAAUGACUGAAGCAAGAACUACAGUAAGCUGGUUGGUGCCAGAAGGGCAUCAGUAGUCCCAUCCUCCACUCUGCCAUCAUCUAUUCCUAAGCAUACGGUGCCUCUGUUUCUUUUAUUUCUUUUUACUUGAUCUUAGGUGAAUGAAUAUUCUAAGAAAGAGGGUCAGUGGAUUUAGAAGAUCCAGUAGAGCCAUUAAAGGCUCCCAAGUCCAAGAGAACAUGAACCCGGCAUACAUAAGCAAUAUGGUAGCACCUGGCUUUUCUAAAGUUAACACAAUCUUAGUUAACACGAAGCCUGUGGUCCACACUGCUUGCCAAGAAAGCAGCAAGGAAGAUUAACAUCAAGGACCACUAACAAAGGAAUCAUCAGCAAGAAUGAAGAUGAAUCAGAAUUCACUGCUCCCCUCACCUACACUUCUCCAUUUCCCUGGCAGAAUUCCUUCAAGACUCAGCUCAAAUAUUACCCUCUGCAAGAGGCCUUUCUCAGUCUUACAGAUCCUAGUGUCUUUCCCUCUGAGAUUACUUUACACUGGCUCUGUAUAGAUCCUAUAUCUACCUAAAUAUUUAUAUAUUGUCUCCCCCAUUAGAACAAAAACUCCUUGAGGGCAAGGACUGUUUUUGCUACUCUUUGUAUCCCCAAUGCCCAGAACAAUACCUGG